GGCUCGGUAUCUUAGUUUAUAAAGCGCUCGUCUAGCAUACAAGAGUCCUGGGUUUAAAUCCCAGCCGAGCAC
rnacentral:tRNA from 1 species